CCCUGGUUAGCUCAGUUGGUAGAGCGCUCCACCUGUAAUGGAGAGGUCCCGGGUUCGAUAUUCAGACCAGGCG
rnacentral:tRNA from 1 species